GAUGAACGCUGGCGGCGUGCCUAAUACAUGCAAGUCGAACGAGGUGCUUUUGUAGCAAUACGAGAGUAUCCUAGUGGCGAACGGGUGAGUAACGCGUUGGUGACCUACCCCAAAGUGUGGGAUAACAGUCCGAAAGGAUUGCUAAUACCGCAUGUGGUUAUUGGAUUUAGAAACCGGUAACUAAAGGAGCAAUUCGCUUUGGGAGGGACCUGCGUCCCAUCAGCUAGUUGGUGAGGUAAUGGCUCACCAAGGCGACGACGGGUAGGGGACCUGAGAGGGUGGCCCCCCACAAUGGAACUGAAACACGGUCCAUACACCUACGGGUGGCAGCAGUAGGGAAUAUUGCUCAAUGGGCGAAAGCCUGAAGCAGCAACGCCGCGUGUGUGAUGAAGGCCUUCGGGUCGUAAAGCACUUUUCUGGGAGAUGAGAAAGGACAGUAUCCCAGGAAUAAGUCUCGGCUAACUACGUGCCAGCCGCCGCCGUAAAAC
rnacentral:rRNA from 1 species